UACAGAGGGUGCGAGCGUUGUCCGGAAUCACUGGGCGUAAAGGGCGCGUAGGUGGUGGCUUAAGCGUGCGGUGAAAGCUCGGGGCUCAACCCCGGGUCGGCCGUGCGAACUGGGGGCUGGAGCACUGUAGAGGCAGGCGGAAUUCCGGGUGUAGCGGUGGAAUGCGUAGAGAUCCGGAAGAACACCGGUGGCGAAGGCGGCCUGCUGG
rnacentral:rRNA from 1 species